rnacentral:misc_RNA from 1 species
AACCUAGCACACCUGCGGUGUGUACCUGCGGAGGGAUCAUUACAGAGAUUGAUGCACCAAGUGCAUCACCUCCAACCCCUUGCGAAAACAACUAUCAUGUGUUGCUUUGGCAGUGUUUCCACUGCCAGAGGUUUACAUAAAAUCAGCUGUUUGGAUGUUGUCUGAGUAAACUAUAUGAAUUAUUUAAAACUUUUAGCAACGGAUCU